UAGGGGAGGAGCUAACCCAUGUGUAUAUGAUGCCCGUGUGUAUAUGAUGCCAUGAUUAGCCAGGAAAUAUAUAUUUUAAUUGGGGUAGCCCCCAAAAUAUUGGGCCAUAUAAAAAAAACGACAACUCUGUUCUGCAGAGUAGCUGUUGACAUUAUAGUUGCACAGGCACUUUGUUGCCUCUAGAGAACUUCGGGCCAAUUGGAUAUCCCCGUGGCGGCGACUUUGCAUGCGGAUGUCAUCCAUAUCAACUUUCAAUCCCAGUUUCUGCGCCUACCAUGGUGACCACGGGUAACGGGGAAUCAUAGUUCCAUUCCGUAUAGGGACCCUGAGAAACAGCUACCACAUGCACGGAAGGCAGCAGGCGCGCAAAUGACCCACUCCCGACGCGGGAAGGUAGUGAUGACAAAUAAUAAUACAGGACUCUUUAGAGGUUAAAUCCUUUAACUCUGAUCAAUUGGAGGGAAGUCUGGUGCAGAGCCACUGACCCAUGCGUGCUGCAGCUGAAACUCCACUA